rnacentral:rRNA from 1 species
GUAAUUCCAGCUCCAAUAGCGUAUAUUAAAGUUGUUGCAGUUAAAAAGCUCGUAGUUGAAUUUCGGGAUCAAGGAAUCGGUCAUGCCUCGGUAUGUACUGGUUUUAUUGGUUCUCACCUUCUAAAGAACCAUGAUGUCAUUCAUUUGAUGUUAUGGGGAAUUAGGACUGUUACCUUGAAAAAAUUAGAGUGUUUAAAGCAAGCUUACGCUUGAAUACAUUAGCAUGGAAUAAUGAAAUAGGACAUCCGAUUCUAUUUUGUUGGUUUCUAGGAUCGAUGUAAUGAUUAAUAGGGAUAGUUGGGGGCAUUAGUAUUCAAUUGUCAGAGGUGAAAUUCUUGGAUUUAUUGAAGACUAACUACUGCGAAAGCAUUUGCCAAGGAUGUUUUCAUUAAUCAAGAACGAAAGUUAGGGGAUCGAAGACGAUCAGAUACCGUCGUAGUCUUAACCAUAAACUAUGCCGACUAGGGAUCGGAUGAUGUUUAUUU